rnacentral:lncRNA from 1 species
CUACGUGCUUCGUUUUCAACACACCUUUCAAGUAAUAAGACGACUGAAAAAACUUCUCCACCUCCUCUACUCCCAUUUCGAAUGACUUGCAUGCUAGAGGUGUCGCCACCGGUCCUGGCGACACACAGUUGACUCUUAUCCCAUGCUCGCCCAACUGAUAACUUGCACAUUUCAUCAGUGCCAAAACCCCGCUCUUGGACAUGAUAUAAUCUGUGGACUUGUCCCCUGCAAGAGUCGCAGCGGCGCUUGAUGUGCAAAUGACGCUGCCCUUUACACCUCCGUCCACCAUGGCACGCGCCGCGUGCUUUAGGCAUGCUGCUGUGCCACGCACGUUUACUGCAAAGAGUUUGUCGCUCGAGUCCAGGUCGAAGUCAAGAACAUUUUGCUUACCAAAGCCUGCGAUGCCGGCAUUGCAGAAUAUUACGUCAAGGUGACCGUAAAGUUGAACAGUGGAUUCCACAAGGGAUUUGACUUGGUUUUCAUCAGUUACAUCACAGUGGAUGUAAGUGGAUCUGUUAGUUCCGAUGGAUUCUGCAAGCUUUUGGCCCUUUUCAUCUUGAAUAUCUGCGAUCACGACUGCUCGUGCGCCGUUUUCAGCAAAGGCAAGCACGGUGGCCUCGCCUAUGCCACUGGCACCUCCCGUGACGAUAGCAACCUUGUCUUGAACCUUGUUCUUGCAAGGUUUUGUAGAUGCCAUUUUAGCUUUGUUUUUGAGUUUUGCAGUGAAUUACACGAAAGAUUCAGAAUUUAGUAUGCUUAUAUCAAGAGAAUUGAUGUAGAUACUUUGACUCCUAGCUAUAGCAUUGGGACCAUUAGAUUUCGGAGAUCUGCUGUGAUGGUAUUUGUGAUUGUUUACAGUUUUUUUUAUUUAAAAUAUAUUAAAAUAAUAUUUUUUUUAUUUUUCAAAAAUUAUUUUUGAUAUAAUAUAUCAAAAAAAUUCAAAAAAUUAAAAAAUUAAUUUUAAAAAAUAAAAUAAAAUAAAUAUUAAUUUUUUUCCAAAACAUUUUUAAAACGUUAUUAAUCUUAAGCCAAUUGAAAGUCUUACACGGGAUUUACAUGGCUGUUAAAUUACAAAAAGUAGAUGCAAGCAUGGCCGACAGUAUCUUAAAACUGUUUUUUCUUAUGCUGUCUUUUCUUUGACGUCCAUUCAUUUUCUUUUCUUAUGUUAUCUUAUCAUUCAUUUAUCAUUAUAGUAUUUUUUUUUAAUUAGAUAAUUCUUAUGUUAUCUUAUGCCAUUUUUUUUAAUUUUUUUUAAUUAUGUAUCUUAAUUAAUUUUAUAAUUUUUAAAAUUAAUAAUUAUAUAAAAUUCUAGUAAUUUUAAAGUUUUUAAAACUUGAAGGAAUAAUCUUUAAAAACUAACUAGUUAAACUACUUCAUUUAAUAUUUAAUUACAACAAUUUUAUAGGUGAGGCUGGUAGAUAUUAUAAUUGGAUGGUAUUAAAGAGUGUCGACGUAGAAAUUAAUAAAUGAUAUUAUGAUUUAAUUAUUCUAUAAAAUAUUAUAAAAUCUAAUAAGUUGAGAUAUUUUUAAUAAAAUAAUUGAAAUUCCACACAGAUUAUAAUGUAUUUUGUGUUCAUCAGUUUUUUUUUUCUUUUUUUGUAAUUAAUCCUUUUGGUUUUUCAAAAUUAAUAUUUAAUUUCUAUAGUUUUUAUCCAUGUAUAACUCGAUCAUUUUCAUCUAUUUUAUAUUAUUUUUCAAUUUAUUUUGUUUUCUUCUUUUAAGAAAUAAAACAGGGGAAAAUAAGUAGAUGAUACCACAAAAAUGAUAAUAAAAGAGAGCAUUUCUUUGAAACAAAAUACUACUAAAUUAAGCAUGGUCAGGGACUAUUUAAUUAGUUAUUGAUAUUACAUAUAUCAAUUAAUUUUUUUUAAUAAAUUAUGAGGAUUAAGUUGUAAUUAACUCAUGAAAUAAGAAAAAAAAAACAUCAGUACCACAUGCUUGGCUUUCAGCACAAAAUUUUCCAAACAAUAAUGUGAUUCACGCCAUAGGCGGUGCUACCAGUACUAGUGACGCAUACAGCGGUACCUCGGAGGGAAAAAAAUUAUAUAUAUAUAUAAUCUUUUGAGGGCCCAAAUUAAGGAUCAAUAUAUAAACUACACUAAAUUACUGGGACUAUAAUUAAUUUUCUGGAGAGCCUCGCUUUUGCACAGUAUUAUUAACUAUAACUAAAAUUGAUCAGUGUUUCACUGUAGCGCAGGAUAUAAUUUAUUGUGAUUGAAUUCACUGUGAACUUUGAGAGCUUUCAUUGUGGACUGCGCUGUUUGGCUGGAGGGCAGGGGCGCCAGUCUGGAAGCAAAACCACUGGGGGAGCUGCCCCUAGGUGCUAGGUCUGCCCGACCUUGGGGCUGGGGGCAGACCAGGGCUCCAGGCACGUCGCCACCUGGCAAUAGGUCUGCCCGGCCUUGGGAGAUGGGACAUACCAAGAGCGCACGUGGCACUUUGGCUACCACGCCCAUAGGUAGGACGUCCAAGCUCCGCAGGGCGCUUGAUUUCCUUUUUUUUUGGUGCAGUCCAAGCACCACAUAGCGCUUGGGCUGCCUAUACUUUUAGUAUAAAUGUAUUAAAAAUAUUAUAGGUAAUUCGCCACAUUGUUUGUUUUGUUGAUGAUUUUUUUUAGUGUAAUUAAUAUUAGAAGAAUUAUUUUAUUAUUUCUUAAUAUAUUUUUUUUUAAGUAUAAUUGAUAGUACUGCUAUUACUAUGAAAAAAAAACCAUGUUUGGAUACCUAGCCCUUGGGUUCCCUCCUGAGGGCGGACAACCCAAACACAACGUGGAGCUUGGUCUGCUUCCUCUGCGCUACAGUCCAAGCGUCAGGUAGCGCUUUGGUUUGGGCACUACCAAGCAUGGCCCAAGGCUAGCCUUGGACCUGGUAGGACAGGACUCAAAAUAACAUUAGGUUUUUACCGUGGGCGAACCAAGCAUCACGUGGCGCUUGGGCAGCACAGUGCCACCUGGCGCUUGGUUUGCUUCCUCUUGGGUGCAGCCCAAGCGCCUCGUGGUGCUUGGGUUGCCUAUGUUUUUGGUAUAAUUACAAGUAUUAGUAUUAAAAAUAUUAUUAUUAGUUUUCUUAAUAUUCUUUUUUUUUGUAUAAUUAAUUUUUAGUGUAUUAAUAGUAAAAAUAUUAUUGUUUGCUUUUUUAAUAUUAUUUUUUUAGUAUAAUUAAUAUUAAAAGAAUUAUUAUAUUUUUUCUUAAUAUAUUUUUUUUGUAUAAUUGAUAAUACUGGUGUUAAAAAUAUUAUUAUUAUUUUUUUAGUAUAAUUAAUAGUGUUGAUCUCAAAAUUAUUAUUAUUUGUUCUCUUAAUAUUAUUUUUUUGUAUAAUUAAUAAUAUUAGUCUCUAAAAUAUUAUUAUAUUUGGUGUUAUAAAUAAUAUUAUUUUUUAUAAUAAUUUAUAUAAUUGCUACUAAAAAUAUUAUUACUAUGAAAAAAACCACGUUGGGACACGUGGCGCUUGGUAGGAUAGUACGGUAUAAGAUAGAAUUUGUCAAAGGUAGACUAUUAGAAAAAGAAUACCUUGUGUUAAUUUCAAUGAGAGUAUCUAUAGUAUUUUUAUCAGUAAGUCUAGCCCGCUAAAUAAUAUCUGUAACAUAUUUUGACCGAGAAAGAAGGUAACCUCUAAGCUAAGGUUGACUUGCGUCUUUUUUGGUUUGUUUUUUAAGCUUUUUAUUAUUAUUAUUUUGUCUUUCAACACUUGGUUGGUCUAGAAAUUAAGCUUCAUGUUUUUUUCUCCUUUUACCAGGUUAUCUUGUUCGCACGAUCCAACUCGUGAGGUUUCGUGGACUUGUCCAGGUUUGCUGGUGUUGUUUUUCCUUUUUGUUAAUUGAUUUUUUUUCCGGUUUCAUCCUUUUACAUUUGGAUUGUUAAGGAUUGGGCAUUGUAAUUUUUUAUUGUUAAGGAUUGGGUAUUGUAAUUUUUUUAUUUACUUUAUAAGGAGUUAUCUCAACUUCACAACUUGGAUCGUGAAUCAGACAUGUUAACUCGAUUUUUAUUUUAUUUUAUUAUUCAGUAUGAAGUUGUAUGGAAAUUUAAUUUCGUGAUUUUUUUUUCUUUUAUCAAGUGUUCUUUUUGUACUGGUAUGUAUGAUCACUUUGUUUUAUAAAAAAAUAAUUCAUUUAUUAUUGUGUUUUUUUCUUUUUUAUUAUAUAAUUAAAUAAAAAUAACUUAUUGAAACUAGUGGAGUUUAUGCCUUGAAUCAUGGGCUUUUUACUUCUUUUUGUUCACCUAUCAUUUUUCAGAAUUUUCCUUUAGUUUAUAGCUUAUUGCUUUCAUAAAAUUAAGACAAAUGCCUCCGAGUCUUCAAUUCUCUCAUUUUUUAAAUCAGAUUUCGUCGUUUAAAAUAAAACUAUCUUAUUAUACAAAUUCCAAGCAGCGCUUGGAUGGUGUGGAUGGAUUGAGAAUCGAAGGCAAACGCUACACACAUGGAUUGAUAUGUAGUCAAGGAUAUACCGGAUCUUAUAAACUCUAGUUUUUAAACAUUUUUUGUUUAUGAAAUUAUUAGAUGAAUCUAAUUUAUUAUUUAAAAAAAAUACAUAGAGUAUCUUGUAGUUUAGUAAUUUUUUAACUUUGUCUUAGUUAUUUUAGAAAUUAUAAUUUAUAUUUUAGAUCAAAAUAAUUUUUCAAUUUGAAUAAAAAAAAAAUCAAAUUACACUCGUAUAUAAUUUAUUAGAAAUAGUUUCUUUAUCAUAUUACCGCCCCUCUAGCUAGAUCGAUCUGCAAUUUCUUCUUCUUUGUUUUCUUUAUGUUUAGCUUGUUCAAACCCUAAAGAAAAAUGCAUGUGAAAUAAAAAUCGAUAGCCCAACUUGCUUUUUAAGAGUUUUUUCUCUUACCUUUUAUCAGAUACAAAUAAAUAGCCCAAUUUUUAUAGAUCUUGAAGUCAAGAUUUGUGGUUGUUAGGCCUGUUGUGUUGUUGACUACGCAAAAAAAAGUGAAUUGCACGAGUUCUUGAAAGGAGCAAAUUUAUGAUGUGCCACUUUUCAAAGGUGAUUUGUGUAUUAACUAUAACAAAAAAUUGAUCAGUUUACUAUAGCGUAGAAUAAUAAUCACUGUGAAUGAAUUCAUCAUGGAUUGCAUUGUUCUACGUUGUUACGGGCUGCUGGAGGCGUGCCCAGGAGUGCUGCGGAUACCAGACGCUUGGUAGGUAGGCCUGGGCGCUGGGCAGGCCACAUCCUUGGUUGUAGUCACCUGGCACUCAGUCUGCUCAACCUUGGACGUUUAGGCUACCUGCCUGUGGGCUAGGCAAACAAAGGUACACAUGGCGUUUAGGCUAUUCCUCAGUGUUGGGCACACCUCUGCACACACGUGGUGCUUGGCCUUCUUGCUUGGGGGCUGGGCACAUCCCAACAAACACGUGGUGCUUGGGCUGUGUUGGACGUCACCCAUGCCCUUGCCCCACUUGAAGACACCUAGCGCUUCAGUCAUGCCGUUGGAUCAAAUUAGAAGGGGUUCGUCAGAACCCACAAUGAAUGGUUUUAGCGUUAGGACCCAAUUAUUAUUGAGUCUUCCAUCAAGACCCAAGAUUCCUCGGUACUAAGAUUCUAAAUAUUAUUAUUUAUUUUUAAAAUAUUAUUAUUUUUAUUAUAAUUAAUAUUAUUAAUAAAAUAAUUAAUAAAUUUCAAAGAAAAUAUUGGUGUAAAUACUAUUAUUUUUUAUAAUAAUUAAUAUUAUUAAUAAAAUAAUUUCUAAAUUAGAAAAAAAAUAUUCUUAAUUUUAAAAAACAACUAUAGAUUUGAUUAAACAAAAUAAAUCAAAUUUAAAUUGAUGAUAUUACUAAAUUAAAUCCUUAAAUAAUAAGUCAUGAAAAGAAAAUCUUGAAAGAAUUAUUUGGAAGAUCAGAUGGAUCACUUAAUACUAAAUAAAUUUCUCAACAAACUAAGCAUAUGCAAAAUCAUUAUUAAUUAAGAACUAAAUCCGACACAAUCCUUCCCCGGACGAUUUUAUUUGGGAAUACCAAGAAAAUUAAACCCACCAUCGACGAUCAAAUUCUGGCCAGUCACAAACUCAGAAUCGUCAGAAGCAAGAAACAGCACUGCGUCAGCUAUGUGCUUCGUUUUCAACACACCUUUCAAGUAAUAAGACGACUGAAAAAACUUCUCCACCUCCUCUACUCCCAUUUCGAAUGCCUUAUUGCAUGCUAGAGGUGUCGCCACCGGUCCUGGCGACACACAGUUGACUCUUAUCCCAUGCUCGCCCAACUGAUAACUUGCACAUUUCAUCAGUGCCAAAACCCCGCUCUUGGACAUGAUAUAAUCUGUGGACUUGUCCCCUGCAAGAGUCGCAGCGGCGCUUGACGUGCAAAUGACGCUGCCCUUUACACCUCCGUCCACCAUGGCACGCGCCGCGUGCUUUAGGCAUGCUGUUGUGCCACGCACGUUUACUGCAAAGAGUUUGUCGCUCGAGUCCAGGUCGAAGUCAAGAACAUUUUGCUUACCAAAGCUUGCGAUGCCGGCAUUGCAGAAUAUUACGUCAAGGUGACCGUAAAGUUGAACAGUGGAUUCCACAAGGGAUUUGACUUGGUUUUCAUCAGUUACAUCACAGUGGAUGUAAGUGGAUCUGUUAGUUCCGAUGGAUUCUGCAAGCUUUUGGCCCUUUUCAUCUUGAAUAUCUGCGAUCACGACUGCUCGGGCGCCAUUUUCAGCAAAGGCAAGCACGGUGGCCUCGCCUAUGCCACUGGCACCUCCCGUGACGAUAGCAACCUUGUCUUGAACCUUGUUCUUGCAAGGUUUUGUAGAUGCCAUUUUAGCUUUGUUUUUGAGUUUUGCAAUGAAUUACACGAAUGAUUCAGAAUUUAGUUGCUUAUAUCAAGAGAAUUGAAUCAUUGACGAUGAUACUUUGAC